rnacentral:rRNA from 1 species
AGAGUUUGAUCAUGGCUCAGGACGAACGCUGGCGGCGUGCCUAAGACAUGCAAGUCGAGCGGUUCCAAGGAGCUUGCUCCUUGGGAUAGCGGCGGACGGGUGAGUAACGCGUAGGUAAUCUGCCUCCGGGACCGGGAUAACAGAGCGAAAGCGCUGCUAAUACCGGAUAGGCGCCACGGUGCCGCAUGGCACCAGGCGGAAAGGGGAAACCCGCCGGGAGAUGAACCUGCGUCCCAUUAGCCAGUUGGCGGGGUAACGGCCCACCAAAGCGACGAUGGGUAGCCGGCCUGAGAGGGUGUACGGCCACACUGGGACUGAGACACGGCCCAGACUCCUACGGGAGGCAGCAGUGGGGAAUAUUGCACAAUGGGCGCAAGCCUGAUGCAGCGACGCCGCGUGAGGGAUGAAGGUCUUCGGAUCGUAAACUUCUAUCAGCAGGGAAGAAUACCAUGACGGUACCUGACUAAGAAGCCC